rnacentral:rRNA from 1 species
GACGAACGCUGGCGGCGUGCUUAACACAUGCAAGUCGAACGGAAAGGCCCUGCUUUUGUGGGGUUCUCGAUUGGCGAACGGGUGAGUAACACGUGAGUAACCUGCCCUUGACUUUGGUAUAACUUCAGGAAACUGGGGCUAAUACCGGAUAGGAGCUCCUGCUGCAUGGUGGGGUUGGAAAGUUUCGGCGGUUGGGGAUGGACUCGCGGCUUAUCAGCUUGUUGGUGGGGUAGGGGCUUACCAAGGCUUUGACGGGUAGCCGGCCUGAGAGGGUGAACGGCCACAUUGGGACUGAGAUACGGACCAGACUCCUACGGGAGGCAGCAGUGGGGAAUAUUGCACAAUGGGCGGAAGCCUGAUGCAGCAACGCCGCGUGCGGGAUGACGGCCUUCGGGUUGUAAACCGCUUUCGCCUGUGACGAAGCGUGAGUGACGGUAAUGGGUAAAGAAGCACCGGCUAACUACGUG